rnacentral:rRNA from 1 species
UACGUAGGUCCCGAGCGUUGUCCGGAUUUAUUGGGCGUAAAGCGAGCGCAGGUGGUUUAUUAAGUCUGGUGUAAAAGGCAGUGGCUCAACCAUUGUAUGCAUUGGAAACUGGUAGACUUGAGUGCAGGAGAGGAGAGUGGAAUUCCAUGUGAGCGGUGAAAUGCGUAGAUAUAUGGAGGAACACCGGUGGCGAAAGCGGCUCUCUGGCCUGUAACUGACACUGAGGCUCGAAAGCGUGGGGAGCAAACAGG